UUGGGAAUGGUCGGGAUAGCUCAGCUGGU
rnacentral:tRNA from 1 species